rnacentral:antisense_RNA from 1 species
GGGACCGAGGCUCGCGAGUCCGGGCCCUCCUCGCAGCUGGGGCCCCACUGGCCGCCCCCGCGGGAGCGCUACGGGAGAGGCGCCCGUUCGGCUGCGGGUUUUAUUAUGGAGCUGCCAAGCUAGAAAGUGCUGCUGGGUUAGGGUCUCCCCAGCUAAGCUGGUCUUGGCAG